rnacentral:misc_RNA from 1 species
CGUCUCUUACACAAUGGCCCAGAUACCAUAUCGGAAUUGUUAGACGGGCACGUUGCGAAGAAGGAGAAAUCGCUGGAUGACGGGGAGGAAGAGCUGCUGAAUCGGCAGUGAUUCACCACCAACCGACGAGAGGCACUGCAUCUGUACCGAGACAUCCUUCGGGCAACCCGGUUCUUCAUGUGGCCCGAUUCUCGAGGUGUUUUGUGGAGAGAUUGUAUUGCAGGAGAACGCUAGGAAGGAGUUCGAAGAGGCACGGUUCGAGAAUUAUCCGGAAAUCUUGACCCGAUUGCUUAUCGGUGGCCGAGAUGCAGUGCAGUCUGCUCUUGAAAAACUCGCCGAGAAGCAGAGACAGCAGAUUGAGAAGGAACGUGGCCAUGGCGGAGGUGGCCGGUGAAUUGGUACUGUAUUUAAAUGUAAAUUUGA